CGGAGGGUGCAGGCGUUAUCCGGAUUCACUGGGUUUAAAGGGUGCGUAGGUGGGCAAGUAAGUCAGUGGUGAAAUCUCCGGGCUUAACCCGGAAACUGCCAUUGAUACUAUUUGUCUUGAAUACUGUGGAGGUCAGCGGAAUAUGUCAUGUAGCGGUGAAAUGCUUAGAUAUGACAUAGAACACCAAUUGCGAAGGCAGCUGGCUACACAAAUAUUGACACUGAGGCACGAAAGCGUGGGGAUCAAACAGGAUUAGAUACCCUGGUAGUCCACGCCCUAAACUAUGGAUACUCGACAUUUGCGAUAAACUGCAAGUGUCUGAGCGAAAGCAUUAAGUAUCCCACCUGGGAAGUACGAUCGCAAGAUUG
rnacentral:rRNA from 1 species